rnacentral:rRNA from 1 species
AGCGAACGCUGGCGGCAGGCCUAACACAUGCAAGUCGAACGGACCCUUCGGGGUUAGUGGCGGACGGGUGAGUAACACGUGGGAACGUGCCUUUAGGUUCGGAAUAACUCAGGGAAACUCGUGCUAAUACCGAAUGUGCCCUUCGGGGGAAAGAUUUAUCGCCUUUAGAGCGGCCCGCGUCUGAUUAGCUAGUUGGUGAGGUAAUGGCUCACCAAGGCUACGAUCAGUAGCUGGUCUGAGAGGAUGACCAGCCACAUUGGGACUGAGACACGGCCCAAACUCCUACGGGAGGCAGCAGUGGGGAAUCUUGCGCAAUAGGCGAAAGCCUGACGCAGCCAUGCCGCGUGGAUGAUGAAGGUCUUAGGAUUGUAAAAUCCUUUCACCGGUGAAGAUAAUGACUGUAGCCGGAGAAGAAGCCCCGGCUAACUUCGUGCCAGCCGCCGCUGUAACAC